UUUGUCAUCGGUUGCUUGUGCUAAACUGGAAAGAAAAUAUCAGCUACCACUCAGAGACACCUCUAUACAUGGACCAAAUGAGCAAAGCUCUGCUUCAUGAUGCUCAGAGGGAGAAAUCUGUGGGACUGAAGCUAUGCAAGUGUUUCACAAAAACAAUUACCUGCUUAUUUUGAAAAUGGCAAAGAACAUUCCAAUUUCACUGACCUAAAGAUCAAGAGAGAAGGGACAUGCAGAGACAUUGAAAAAUCUUGACAGUUUUGACUAAGGUCUCUGGUGCUGACAGAUCCUUUUAUAGAUCAGUUACAGGAAAGGUUCAACCAACAACCAACAAGCUCUUCUUCAGGGAUAUGUGUGAUGUUAAUCAGGGAGAACUACAUAUCUCACAGGAUAUAUCAAUUAACAAUUGAGAAGUAACAGAACCAGAAGAUAUGAAGAGGAUAUUUAGAAGUUGAAAUGAAAUGAGGAGGGGAGUACAAAUUGCAACCAAUGCUAAAGUAUCCAUU